UUUUAGAGUUUUUUUAUCAUGGCUCAGGAUGAACGCAGGCGGCGUGCCUAAUACAUGCAAGUCGAGCGAAUGGAUUGAGAGCUUGCUCUCAUGAAGUUAGCGGCGGACGGGUGAGUAACACGUGGGUAACCUGCCCAUAAGACUGGGAUAACUCCGGGAAACCGGGGCUAAUACCGGAUAACAUUAUGAACUGCAUGGUUCGAAAUUGAAAGGCGGCUUGGGCUGUCACUUAUGGAUGGACCCGCGUCGCAUUAGCUAGUUGGUGAGGUAACGGCUCACCAAGGCAACGAUGCGUAGCCGACCUGAGAGGGUGAUCGGCCACACUGGGACUGAGACACGGCCCAGACUCCUACGGGAGGCAGCGAGUAGCGGAAUCUUCCGCAAUGGACGAAAGUCUGACGGAGCAACGCCGCGUGAGUGAUGAAGGCUAUCGGGUCGUAAAAGCUCUGUUGUUAGGGAAGAACAAGUGCUAGUGAAUAAGCUGGCACCUUAGCGGACUAACCGAGCACCGAACGCGACGCCAGAUCGG
rnacentral:rRNA from 1 species